rnacentral:rRNA from 1 species
GUACAAGUUUCUGUAGGUGACCUGCAGAAGGAUCAUUAG